UGUACUUUUCAGCCGUACAGCUGAAAGUUAACUUGGGAAUAGUAAUGAAAAUGAAAGCAGUGAAAACAUAACAACUGCCUCAGUGCCAGGUGGAUAAUAAACAGGCUUAUAAUGGCGUGGUGCAAAAAAGCAGGGAAAUCGCAUGACCUACAGUAAAAGUGAAUGUAAGUACAGAAAGAAGAAGAUGCCUGGGUUUUACUUUGUAGAAAAAAAGCGAUAAUUAAAGUGGCACGUGCUCAGGUGAUUGGAGAAUAAGAGUGUUACCUCUAUCUUCAAAAUAGAUGCAUCAUUUUCUAGAACAUUAAUAACACUGAACUACACAUUAAUAGCACUGAAUUACACGCUGUACAGAAUAA